rnacentral:rRNA from 1 species
GUGCCAGCCGCCGCGGUAAUACGUAGGUGGCGAGCGUUGUCCGGAAUUACUGGGUGUAAAGGGCGUGUAGGCGGGGAUGCAAGUCAGAUGUGAAAUACCGCGGCUUAACCGCGGGGCUGCAUCUGAAACUGUGUCUCUUGAGUGUCGGAGAGGAAAGCGGAAUUCCCAGUGUAGCGGUGAAAUGCGUAGAGAUUGGGAGGAACACCGGUGGCGAAGGCGGCUUUCUGGACGACAACUGACGCUGAGGCGCGAAAGCGUGGGGAGCAAACAGGAUUAGAUACCCUGGUAGUCCACGCCGUAAACGAUGGAUACUAGGUGUAGGAGGUAUCGACCCCUUCUGUGCCGGAGUUAACACAAUAAGUAUCCCACCUGGGGAGUACGGCCGCAAGGUUGAAACUCAAAUAAAUUGACGG